rnacentral:sRNA from 1 species
UAGAGCGCCUCGGGCUGGGCGGCCCCGAGUCUACAUUUCCCAGGGAAACCCGCGCGGUGCGGGCGGGAAACGGAGCGCGUCGGGCCCAGUGCGCAGGCGCGAGAGCCUUCUCACGGUAUAUAAGGGAGGU